rnacentral:misc_RNA from 1 species
GAUGAAGAACGUAGCGAAAUGCGAUACGUAAUGUGAAUUGCAGAAUUCAGUGAAUCAUUGAAUCUUUGAACGCAUAUUGCGCUCUCUGGUAUUCCGGAGAGCAUGCUUGUUUGAGUAUCAGUAAACACCUCAACUUCCAUAUCUUUUUUGAAAUGGGAGUUGGACUUGAGUGAUCCCAACGCUUUUCCUCACCGAAAAGUGGCGGGUUACUUGAAAUGCAGGUGCAGCUGGACUUUUCUCUGAGCUAUAAGCAUAUCUAUUUAGUCUGCCUAAAAAACAGAUUAUUACCUUUGCUGCAGCUAACAUAAAGGAGAUUAGUUCUUGUGCUGACUGAUGCAGGAUUCACAAAGACAGGCUUCGGCCGACUUUGUAAACUCGAUCUCAAAUCAAGUAAGACUACCCGCUGAACUUAAGCAUAUCAAUAAGCGGAGGA